GGGGAUAUAGCACAGUGGUAAUGUCUUGACUAGUAUACAAAGUCCUGGGUUCAAUUCCCAGUAUUACAA
rnacentral:tRNA from 1 species